AUCAACAGCCCGUCUGACACACCAGUUCCUGUUCUGAAGCCAGGAUGUCACCAAGGUUCUGAUGAGAACAAGAGGCUUUUAUCUCCCUGAAGGAGAGAGCUGCCAGCAUGGCAGGCCCAGGUUUGCUGUGGGCAGCCAUGGUCUCCAUCUAUCUUGGACCCAGUGUGGCCCAGACGGUCACUCAGCCUCAACCAGAAGAGUCUGUACAGGAGACAGGCACAGUGACCCUGGACUGUACAUAUAGCACUAGUGAGAGUAAUUAUUAUUUGUUCUGGUACAAACAGCCUCCCAGUGGGGAGAUGGUUUUCAUUAUUCGCCAAAAUGCUUAUGAACAACAGAAUGCAACCAACGAUCGCUACUCUGUGAACUUCCAGAAAGAAGCCAAAGCCUUCAGUCUCAGGAUCUCAGACUCCCAGCUGGAGGAUGCUGCAAUGUAUUUCUGUGCUUACAGUGGUGCACGGUGAGAUGAGCAACAGAGAGAGGCCUACAGAAACCUCAGACCUCAGCAUCUGUGCAGAGGUCGGGGGAAGUAGCUGGGGUAAGAGGAACAGAAAAUCAUUGACUUCUCCUUGAAAUAAUAGUUGUUCCUAUCUAAAUAUAAGAAACACAGAGAGAUGAAUGUCUGUGACUUGUAGUCCUUAAGUAAAUAUAAUAA